rnacentral:rRNA from 1 species
AGUGGCAAACGGGUGAGUAACGCGUGGGCGACCUACCUCAGAGUGGGGGAUAACCUUCCGAAAGGAGGGCUAAUACCGCAUGACAUCCCGUGUUUGGAUACACGGUGAUCAAAGCCGGGGAUCGCAAGACCUGGCGCUUGGAGAGGGGCCCGCGUCCGAUUAGCUAGUUGGUGAGGUAACGGCUCACCAAGGCUCCGAUCGGUAUCCGGCCUGAGAGGGCGGACGGACACACUGGAACUGAGACACGGUCCAGACUCCUACGGGAGGCAGCAGUGGGGAAUUGUUCACAAUGGGCGCAAGCCUGAUGACGCAACGCCGCGUGGAGGAUGAAGACUUUCGGGUCGUAAACUCCUUUCGACCGAGAUGAAUUUCCCUCGACCUAACACGUCGAGGGGGUGACAGUAUCGAGGGAAGAAGCCCCGGCUAACUCCGUGCCAGCAGCCGCGGUAAUACGGGGGGGGCAAGCGUUGUUCGGAAUUACUGGGCGUAAAGGGUUCGUAGGUGGCUUGCUAAGUCAGACGUGAAAUCCCUCAGCUUAACUGGGGAACUGCGUCUGAUACUGGCGAGCUUGAGUGCAGGAGAGGAACGCGGAAUUCCAGGUGUAGCGGUGAAAUGCGUAGAUAUCUGGAGGAACACCGGUGGCGAAGGCGGCGUUCUGGACUGCAACUGACACUGAUGAACGAAAGC